CCUUUUAAUUUUGUGUUGUUUCUUUUCUUAUAAUAGGAUCUGUUCAAUGUUAGUCGUUAAAAUACUUAUUGUUAUAAAUUAAAUAGUACGGAUUUGUGUUGGUAAAAAUCGAUUAGUGUGUAAAAUCCCUUUCGAAUCCACACGAACAAAUAACGACAGUGAAAAACGAAUUAAAAACGAAAUAGAAAAAGGUCCACGACAAAGGGACCUUUUUCUUUUGUACCUUUUUUCCAAGGUCUCGAGAGUGCAGUGCCACAGUGGUGAUUUCCGGGAAGAUUUGGCGAGUGCCCGUUGGCUUGGAUAAAGCAGCGUCAUUGCUGGCCGAAGUGUGGCCGCCAUCUUCCAACACCGAUACGGAAAAGCCACGUCAUCAAUCUCGCAGGGCAACACUCGUCCCGUCCGUGGAAUGAUUUCCGGACUGAAGCGGCUCCGCAAAGAGCAUCAAGCCGGCCAGAUCAAAGCUGAUUGGUCACA